UCAGUAAGAGCUUUAUCCUGGUCGUGAUGGUGGUGGAUCCAGCCCUUCCCAGGAACACUGGAGACAUUCUUCAGAAAUGGAGCAUAAAGACACGCCUGGCCGGAUUACCGGACCAAUGACAAGUACAAGUAUCACCCACAAGCAGCGCUGUCUCCUGCCAGCACUUCCCUCAGUUUGAUUUAUUAUUUCCAUUAAAUGUGUCAAGUGGGUCUCUUUCUUUCUAUUCAUUCACAAACAAGAGCAAAAGAGGAUCCACCCCAUUUUAACAAACAAUGUCACUCCUUUCCUGUUAAGCAGAGUUAAG